AUUGAACGCUGGCGGCAGGCUUAACACAUGCAAGUCGAGCGGGGUGAUGGUGCUUGCACUAUCACUUAGCGGCGGACGGGUGAGUAAUGCUUAGGAAUCUGCCUAUUAGUGGGGGACAACAUCUCGAAAGGGAUGCUAAUACCGCAUACGUCCUACGGGAGAAAGCAGGGGAUCACUUGUGACCUUGCGCUAAUAGAUGAGCCUAAGUCGGAUUAGCUAGUUGGUGGGGUAAAGGCCUACCAAGGCGACGAUCUGUAGCGGGUCUGAGAGGAUGAUCCGACACACAGGGACUGAGACACGGCCCAGUCUCCUACGGGAGACAGCUGUUGGGAAUAUUGGACAAUGGGGGUAACCCUGAUCCAGCCAUGCCGCGUGUGUGAAGAAGGCCUUAUGGUUGUAAAGCACUUUAAGCGAGGAGGAGGCUCUUUUGGUUAAUACCCAAGAUGAGUGGACGUUACUCGCAGAAUAAGCACCGGCUAACUCUGUGCCAGCCGCCGCCGUAA
rnacentral:rRNA from 1 species